UACGUAGGUGGCAAGCGUUGUCCGGAUUUACUGGGCGUAAAGAGCGCGCAGGCGGUCGUUCAAGUCGCGUGUGAAAGCCCCCGGCUCAACUGGGGGGGGUCACGCGAUACUGAUCGACUCGAAGGCAGGAGAGGGUAGUGGAAUUCCCGGUGUAGUGGUGAAAUGCGUAGAUAUCGGGAGGAACACCAGUGGCGAAGGCGACUACCUGGCCUGUUCUUGACGCUGAGGCGCGAAAGCUAGGGGAGCAAACGGG
rnacentral:rRNA from 1 species